rnacentral:rRNA from 1 species
AUUGAACGCUGGCGGCAGGCCUAACACAUGAAAGUCGAGCGAGCGGCGGACGGGUGAGUAAUGUAUGGGGACUGCCCGAUAGAGGGGGAUAACUACUGGAAACGGUGGCUAAUACCGCAUAUUGUCGGAUAACCCAUAUGGGAUGAGCUAGUAGUUAAGGUAAUGGCUUACCUAGGCGACGGUCCCUAGCUGGUCUGAGAGGAUGAUCAGGCACACUGGGGCUGCGACAGGGCCCAGUCUCCGACGGAGGCAGCAGUGGGGAAUAUUGCACAAGGGGCACAAGCCUGAUGCAGCCAUGCCGGGUGUAUGAAGAAGGCCCUAGGGUUGUAAAGUACUUUCAGUCGGGAGGCGUUACCGACAGAAGAAGCACCGGCUAACUCCGUGCCAGCCGCCGCGGUAAUAC